rnacentral:misc_RNA from 1 species
CAGCCCCCGAGGGUCUUCAACGACUAUUGAUGGCGACAGUCACGGUUAUCGUGAUAAUUUCGAAGGGGCUCGUCGAAUUCAGAUUAUGGCAUGGAAAACGUAAGAACGUACAUCAAUUAUUCGCUCGCAAGUCCGACGAUCGCAGCAUCAAUUCGGUUGGGUGAGGUACUUCAAUUGACCGGGGUCGAAAUCUGGCUUUGGCACUCUCGGGGGCAGAUUGAGUUCGACGCACGCAUAAUAAAUCGUAAAUGAGUACGUCCCCAAAAAUAUGGCGUGCACCGGCGUGAAGAUCGUUUGCAUCCACUGCGAUAUCCAAGUGAAUUAUAAUCAUGAACUCACGAAGUGCCUUGGAACUGCCCCAGAGAUGAUGGAGGGACGCGAACACAAUCGUGACCGUUGGUCAACUAAUCAGAAGAUACAGGCGGCCGGCUAUCGAAGACUCGAUGCUCGAUACGGACUGCAUUGGUAAACCUCAUGGGGACGACUUUAUGACCUGAGAAAAGUUUGGAAGAAAACUCCCAUCUAACGUUUCUACCGAGAGGCGAGUAAACACGUCCAUCCUAGCAGCAGCUUGGUGCGGAGUAUCCAAGAGGACUUUAAUUCCAAAUUGAAAAUGUAAAACAACUUACGCUGCCAACUGGAGACGAAGCUCUGAUUCAUUGAUAUUCGUGACUUUGUCGCUCUACUUGAACUCGAUAUUAAUUUAUGCUCAGUCAGAAGCAUGGCCGAGUAAUUCGAUGCAUUCUCACGAUUACAGGUAUCCCACCUCUACUUUUUUUCUAACUUAAUUCCUUACUUUUUUCUGUUCUUCGAUUUUUACCGGCAAUAUAAAGUUACCGCAGUUGAACGUUCUUGUUUUUUUCAGAUCGAUGGAAAUUAUAAUACCCAAUUUUUUUAACUUCAUCCAAUACGAGGGGUUUCAUCGACGUGUCAACGUCCGAUUGAGUUUUGUGGGCUUGACGAUAUUGCGAGCAACCGUAACGCGCAUACGCCAUAAUACGCGUAAUGGGUCUUAGCUCUGGCACGUGGCUUUCGCGUAGAAAAUCGAUCACCUUUUGCAUUAACCCUUCGAG